AUUGAACGCUGGCGGCAGGCCUAACACAUGCAAGUCGAGCGAGCGGCGGACGGGUGAGUAAUGUAUGGGGACUGCCCGAUAGAGGGGGAUAACUACUGGAAACGGUGGCUAAUACCGCAUACUAUCGGAUAACCCAUAUGGGAUUAGCUAGUAGGGGGGGUAAAGGCUCACCUAGGCGACGAUCUCUAGCUGGUCUGAGAGGAGGAUCAGCCACACUGGGACGGAGCCACGGCCCUGACUCCUACGGAGGCAGCAGUGGGGAAUAUGGCACAAUGGGCGCAAGCCUGAUGCAGCCAUGCCGCGUGUAUGAAUAAGGCCUUAGGGUUGUAAAGUACUUUCAGCUGGUAGGCGUUACCCGCAGAAGAAGCACCGGCUAACUCCGUGCCAGCCGCCGCGGUAAUUC
rnacentral:rRNA from 1 species